rnacentral:rRNA from 1 species
UCCUGACUGACCGAUAGUGAACCAGUACCGUGAGGGAAAGGCGAAAAGAACCCCGGCGAGGGGAGUGAAAAAGAACCUGAAACCGUGUACGUACAAGCAGUGGGAGCACGCUUAGGCGUGUGACUGCGUACCUUUUGUAUAAUGGGUCAGCGACUUAUAUUCUGUAGCAAGGUUAACCGAAUAGGGGAGCCGAAGGGAAACCGAGUCUUAACUGGGCGUUAAGUUGCAGGGUAUAGACCCGAAACCCGGUGAUCUAGCCAUGGGCAGGUUGAAGGUUGGGUAACACUAACUGGAGGACCGAACCGACUAAUGUUGAAAAAUUAGCGGAUGACUUGUGGCUGGGGGUGAAAGGCCAAUCAAACCGGGAGAUAGCUGGUUCUCCCCGAAAGCUAUUUAGGUAGCGCCUCGUGAAUUCAUCUCCGGGGGUAGAGCACUGUUUCGGCAAGGGGGUCAUCCCGACUUACCAACCCGAUGCAAACUGCGAAUACCGGAGAAUGUUAUCACGGGAGACACACGGCGGGUGCUAACGUCCGUCGUGAAGAGGGAAACAACCCAGACCGCCAGCUAAGGUCCCAAAGUCAUGGUUAAGUGGGAAACGAUGUGGGAAGGCCCAGACAGCCAGGAUGUUGGCUUAGAAGCAGCCAUCAUUUAAAGAAAGCGUAAUAGCUCACUGGUCGAGUCGGCCUGCGCGGAAGAUGUAACGGGGCUAAACCAUGCACCGAAGCUGCGGCAGCGACGCUUAUGCGUUGUUGGGUAGGGGAGCGUUCUGUAAGCCUGCGAAGGUGUGCUGUGAGGCAUGCUGGAGGUAUCAGAAGUGCGAAUGCUGACAUAAGUAACGAUAAAGCGGGUGAAAAGCCCGCUCGCCGGAAGA